AAAUAUUGUUAUUUUUCUUUUUCUCUUUUUCCUCACUCGUUUGCAUGUCUCCACUCUCUUCCUCUUCCUCCUCUUCGCUAUUCUUUUCUCUUUCUCUCCCUCCGCUUUCCUUUUCUUCUCCUCCUCCUCCUCCACCACCUACGUGACAAUGCCGUGCUCCUUUUUCCUACCUCGUUCACAUUUUCACCGGUGCCGGCAAUAGUGACGCGAUCUCGAAUAUAAUACAAAUCGCGGAAAUAAGUUUGUGGCAGACGAU
rnacentral:lncRNA from 1 species